ACCACAGCUCUUGGCAAUGCCAGAUCCUUAACCCAAUGAGUGAGGCCAGGGAUUAAACCUGCAACCUCAUGGUUCCUAGUUGGAUUCGUUUCCACUGCACCCCAGCAGGAACUCCUCAAUUUCUUAUCUUAACAUGGGUGUGGCAAAAACAGGUACCUGUCCAACCAAGAGUCUUGCUCUCCUACGGACAGUGUAUAUUGUCACUGGACAGGGUGCCCUCCAGCGACACACACAGAGGGACUGCAUUCCCCUACCCUCCUUGCAUCUAGGAUCUAAGAGGGGUCAUGUAUCUACUUCUUGUAAAAUGAAUAGAAAUGAUGCAGGUCACUUCUGGGCCAAGGAAAUUACGAAGAAAAUGCUUCCUUACCCUCUCUUUUUCUUGCAGCUGCAAGCAGAGAUCUCCAUGGUCCUAGGAUUAGCAGCUCCAGAGGCAAGGACCCUAGGAUUUCUCGCCAAGCUAAGGAAUGCUGCCCACAUACCAGAAUAUCAGCACCAAAUUGUUUGCAUGUGCAGGGCCUCCAGCUGCUACAUCCUGAAGUGUGAUCCUGUCGCUGUCACAGUUGAAGGAAGACUGUGUCCCAGCAGUGCCUUGACUAAGAGGCCUCUCUCAGAGAUACGAGGGUGGCAUCGGAUGGCGCUCCAGCUACCACAAGUAAGGAGGGGUCUCACCACACCAGGCUAGGCCAGAACAUCCCCUCGAGUCUGCAGACAUUUCGGACAUAACCCCGUAUCCCACCAUAAAGAUAUUUAGAGAGUUCGCUGUGCUCAAGUGCAAAAUAAUCAGGUGAGGAUUUUGCACAGUCCCUAAGAAAUAGACAAUUCUCGUAUGUGGGGAAUGGACCUGACUUGCCAGAUGCCACCAAAACUCUAAUCAGACUUACAAUCUAGAAGGCUGAUUCCCUGCCCCCGACAAUGAGCUGCCUUGGACACCAGUUAAAUAGUCAUUCCUCAAAGGAUGUUUCCCUUACAACCUCCCUCCACCCCCCUCCAAAACCAUUACCCACAUUCAUAAAGAGAUUGCCUCCCCCUAACCCUUGACUAUUAUCUCAGCACAAGAAGAAAUCUAUGCUAAAAAUAGAAAUUACCAUGUUUCCUAAGUGGCUCCCUAAACAGCAGGGAGCCUGAGUCCACUCUCAAUGCUCCCGGCCAAUCUGUUGGUCAAUAAAAUUUACUUGACGUCUCA
rnacentral:lncRNA from 1 species